rnacentral:piRNA from 1 species
UACUACCAUGUGAAUUUUAGGGCACUGC